rfam:Anas platyrhynchos breed Pekin duck contig104808, whole genome shotgun sequence.
AUGGGGCUUUCAGCCUUUUGGCUAAGAUCAAGUGUAGUAUCUGUUCUUAUGAGUUCAAUAUCUGAUAUGUCCUUAAUGAGAGGACUUUUUAUUAAACAGAUCUUUGGUCUUGGAGUUGGAUUUGGAGCUUGCCCCCUCCACUCCAUGCAUUGUCCUGGUAUUGUAGUAUUUCCAGGAAUGGUGCACCUCCU